CCUGGGCAUGGUGGUUCAUGCCUGUAGUCCUAGCUACUUGGGAGGUCAGAUAGGAGGAUUGCUUGAGCCCAGGAGGUUGAGGCUGUGGUGAGCUAUGAUCGUGCCACUACACUCCAGCCUGGGCAAUAGAGUGAGACCCUGUCUCAA
rnacentral:SRP_RNA from 1 species